AACGAACGCUGGCGGCAUGCCUAACAUAUGCAAGUCGAACGAGACCUUCGGGUCUAGUGGCGAACGGGUGCGUAACGCGUGGGAACCUGCCCUUAGGUUCGGAAUAACUCCCCGAAAGGGGUGCUAAUACCGGAUAAUGUCUUCGGACCAAAGAUUUAUCGCCUUUGGAUGGGCCCGCGUUGUAUUAGCUAGUUGUUAGGGUAAAAGCCUACCAAGGCGACGAUCCAUAGCUGGUCUGAGAGGAUGCUCAGCCACACUGGGACUGAGACACGGCCCAGACUCCUACGGGAGGCAGCCGUGGGGAAUAUUGGACAAUGGGCGAAAGCCUGAUCCAGCAAUGCCGCGUGAGUCAUGAAGGCCUUAGGGUUGUAAAGCUCUUUUACCCGCGAUGAUAAUGACAGUACCGGGAGAAUAAGCUCCGGCUAACUCCGUG
rnacentral:rRNA from 1 species